rnacentral:rRNA from 1 species
AAAUUGAAGAGUUUGAUCAUGGCUCAGAUUGAACGCUGGCGGCAGGCCUAACACAUGCAAGUCGAACGGUAACAGGAAGAAGCUUGCUUCUUUGC